UCAAGGCUCAUCCACAUUGCUGUGUUUAUCGGUGCUUCCUGGUUAUGGCUGAGUAACAUUCCACUGUACGAAGUUGGUUGUGUUUUCUCAGGUGAUGGACAUUCGGGCCGUUUCUACCUUUUAGCUCCUACGAAUAACGUGGUGUGAACAUCUGUGUACAAGCUUUUGUGUGGACUUAUGUUUUUAUUUCUCCCGGGUAUAUACCUAGGAGUAGAAAUGCUUGGUCAUAUGGUAAUUCUAUAUUUAACAUUGUGAGAAACGGCCAGACUGUUUUCCAAAGUGGCUAUACCACUUUAUAUUCCCACGGCAGCGUGUGAAGUGAACCGGGCCCGGACUGAUGUUAUCUGGGGACAGGGUGUGCGGGUCUUGGCGGUGCUGCUCCUCCAUCCAGGAACGAGGGUCAUUUCCCUGCUCGGGCGAGUGCCAUGGCACCAGGCGUCCGCUCCCUGCCAACGUUUGCCCGAGGGGCAGACUCGUGUGCUAAGACGAGCAGAGCAGACGGGUUUCUUCAAAGCUAGGUGUUGGCAGAGGGCUGGCACCCGCUCCUGGGGGAAGCCUCGCAUCCCGGCCCAUCAUGCAGCACAGGGGACACAGGCAUGCAGCCCAGGGACCCCGAUCUCCAGCUCCAAGUCUUCAAGCCUGUUGUUAACACCCCCAUCCUGAUGCGUGUAGACCACGCAUUCUCAUUUCUCAGUUGAAAAAUAAGGCCCGCACAGCAAAUACCUUGCAGUGAGCACUGGAAGGAGAAGCCCUAGCAGUUGAGACUCGUAAUUGUUGAGUGUGUGCUGGGCAUCGUGCUAAGCAGCCUGACAGGUGCAGCAACAUUCUCGAGCGGUUCUCCAGACACGAGGCCAAGGCCGAGGACAGGUGAGGAGCCUGCCCACCGACCGAGCAGAGCCCGCGUGCCCACCCAGGCUGGGAAAGCCACCGUCUCCAGUGUGCUGCUACAUAUCCACCCCACAUGUUGGCUGAGUGCCCUCGGCUCUGCCCCCUAGGAUGCCAGCCCUGUCGGGGCAGCCAUGGGCCCCAGCGCCUACAGCAGGUGUGAGCACCUAGUCCAGAUGUGCAGGGCAAACUGCUGCCAGGCAGGCAUUCAGGUGACAUUUCUUGAUGUUUCCAGAAGACUUACCCCCUCUGACCAGCGCUUCUACUGAGUGCUUGGAGGCAAGUAUGGUGGUAGCUGGAGAUGAGGAACGGCCACGGCGAGAGCUCCUUCCAGACAAAUCCAAUGAGACUGGAGGACACUGCAGAGUGGGCGGGACUUCGCAAGACCUCUGGCUGGAUGCCUGGACCCUGCUGCCUAACCUUGGUGGUCUACCCUCACCCCACCUGGCCACACUGCUCAUAUCAGCCCUUUGUGCCUCUUCCGAAGACCAGCAGACCGCCAGGAUCACCAGCCCCUCGAGGGAAGAGCAUCUAACACGAAAGAUAGAUUCUCUACCUACGAAAAUAAAGGAGCCUUGAGGAAACGGAAACAAGAGGAACAGAAGAUCAUACAGAAGAGAAAAAAAAUCUCUCAGAUCAGAGAAAAUACCACACCCAUGACCUAAGGACAAGAGGCUAUAAAAAAGGAACAGGCAGAAAAUAA